GCUUCACCGUUGGGAACCAGACUACGAAUCUGGGGGUCAGGAGUUCGAAUCUCUUCGGGCGCGCCA
rnacentral:tRNA from 1 species